GCGAUCGUACGAGAAUUUGGUAUACCGAGCGCCCCGAGACGGCGUGGCCGCAAGGCCGUGCGGGUUCGAGUCCCGCCGAUCGCACCA
rnacentral:tRNA from 1 species